AAAAAAAGGACAAAGGUACACAAGGAAACUGUUGGAGUACCUCACCAGAUGCAGACCUCACCAGAUGCCCUUCAACGUUGGACUUCCCAGCCUCCAGAAACUAUACCCAGUCUCGAUAUCUGUUACAGGACACAAAAUGGACGUAGACAAAAUAGAAACAAGUAGAGAGGAGACAAUAGUUUCAUAAGAAGCUGGGAGUCUCAUUUGGCUUCCAUAUGCCUGAUGCCUUUGACAUCUAGGCAAAGGUCUCAUUCUAAUAUCCCUAGUAGAUUUGACACAGCACAGCAGUUAAGAGCACAGACUUGGCCGGGCGGGGUGGCUCACACUUAUAAUCCCAGCACUUUUCGAGGCCGAAGGUGGGCAGAUCACCUGAGGUCAGGAGUUCAAGAUCAGCCUGGCCAACAUGGUGAAACCCAGUUUCUACUAAAAAUACCAAAAAUAAUAAUAAUAAUAACUGGGUAUGGUGGCAGAUGCCUGUAAUCCCAGUUAGUACCAGACUCUGGCGCUGGGCUGCCAGAGGAAGAAACCUUUUUCUUUUACUUACUAGCUUUGUGAACUCAGGCAAGUUUCCUAGCCUGUCUAUGCCUCAGUUUUCUCCUCAUUCAAAAAAUGAAAACAACAAGAUAUACCAUAGAGUUUUUGUGAGCAUUAAAUAAAUUAAUAUUCGCAAAGCACUUAAAACGAUACCAAGUUCCUGGCAUUGUAUCAAUGUUUGAUAAGUAAAUUACAUUACAAAUAUAGUUAUCUCACAUCUUAGCACCCUAUAGUUUACAAAUUAAUUUUGGUAUACUAGCCUCAUCAAAUUCUCACAAUUCCGAGGAAGGUAUUAUUACCUUGAUGUGUGGAUCAAGAAAUAAAGUUUCCUAAGUGUUUUGUGAGGUUAAUGAUUUGGGACAAAGUUGACCAGAAAGAAAAAUAAUUUCAUCUAUUUUAUUUCUAUGCUUAGUUCAAGGGAAAAGGGUCAGCACCUUUUCUCCCAUUUUCAUAGCAGAGAGCACGGUGGUUAAUCACUUACUUUUUCUUUGGUUACCGAUAUGGUUUGGCUGUGUCCCCACUCAAAUCUCAUCUUCAAGUGUAGCGCCCAUAAUCCCCACGUGUAAUGGGAGAGACCUAAAGGGAGGUAAUUGACUCAUGGGGGCGGGUCUUUCCCGUGCUGUUCUCAUGAUAGUGAAUAAAUCUCAUGAGAUCUGAUAGUUUUAUAAAGGGUAGUUCCCGGGCAGAUGCUCUCUUGCCUGCGCCAUGUAAAAUGUGACUUUGCUGCUUCUUCGCCCUCCGCCAUGAUUGGGAAGCCUCCCCAGCCGUGUGGAACUGUGAGUCCAUUAAACCUCUUUUUCUUUAUAAAUGACCCAGUCUCAGGUAUUUCUUCAUAGCAGUAUGAAAAUGGAUUAAUACAGUUACUAUGAUAAUAAGUAGAAUACCUUCCAUUGAAACAUAGUUUGUAUAUGUGUAUCUGUGAUAUGUGACAUAUUGCAUGUAUCUCUUCCAAGAAAGUUUUCCUAUUACUAAGUCCUUUAUUACUAAGGACCUUUGGGGAACAAUAGUAAUUUCAUACAUAUUAGUUUUAAUGGUGAGUGUUACACUUAUGCUCAACUUCUCGGCUGAAGUUCAGUCUUUGCCUGUAGAGGGAAGCUCACUGUAGACUCUGGACUGAGUCUUCCUCUUCUCCAACACACACCAGAGUUAUGGAAGAAGUUUGUUUUCUGCUCUGCAGUAUUGGUAUUUCCUUUUUCCCUUUUUUUCUUUUCUUUUCUUUUUUUUUUAUUUUUAUCUGGAGACAAAGUCUAACUCUGUCACCUAGGCUGGACUGCAGUGGUGCGAUGUCGGCUCACUGCAACCUCCACCUCCCAGGUUCAAGU
rnacentral:lncRNA from 10 species